rnacentral:rRNA from 1 species
UGCCCACUGACUGUUAANNGGUUGAAGGGCCGCGGUAUUUUGACCGUGCAAAGGUAGCAUAAUCAUUAGUUCUUUAAUUGUGAUCUGGUAUGAAUGGCUUGACGAGACAUAAGCUGUCUUAGAGGUAUUGGUUUGUUGAAUUUGGUUUUUGAGUUAAAAUUCUUAAAUGUUUUUAUGGGACGAGAAGACCCUAUAGAGUUUAACAAUUUUCUUAUUUGUUCAUUGUUUGUUUUAUUUACAUUGAGUGGGAACNNAUUGUUUUGUUGGGGUGAUGGGAGGAAANUUGUUUAACUCCUCUUUGUUUUUGUAUAUUUAUGUAUA